GAUGAACGCUGGCGGCGUGCCUAAUACAUGCAAGUCGAGCGAACGGACGAGAAGCUUGCUUCUCUGAUGUUAGCGGCGGACGGGUGAGUAACACGUGGAUAACCUACCUAUAAGACUGGGAUAACUUCGGGAAACCGGAGCUAAUACCGGAUAAUAUUUUGAACCGCAUGGUUCAAAAGUGAAAGACGGUCUUGCUGUCACUUAUAGAUGGAUCCGCGCUGCAUUAGCUAGUUGGUAAGGUAACGGCUUACCAAGGCAACGAUGCAUAGCCGACCUGAGAGGGUGAUCGGCCACACUGGAACUGAGACACGGUCCAGACUCCUACGGGAGGCAGCAGUAGGGAAUCUUCCGCAAUGGGCGAAAGCCUGACGGAGCAACGCCGCGUGAGUGAUGAAGGUCUUCGGAUCGUAAAACUCUGUUAUUAGGGAAGAACAUAUGUGUAAGUAACUGUGCACAUCUUGACGGUACCUAAUCAGAAAGCCACGGCUAACUACGUGCCAGCAGCCGCGGUAAUACGUAGGUGGCAAGCGUUAUCCGGAAUUAUUGGGCGUAGAGCGCGCGUAGGCGGUUUUUUAAGUCUGAUGUGAAAGCCCACGGCUCAACCGUGGAGGGUCAUUGGAAACUGGAAAACUUGAGUGCAGAAGAGGAAAGUGGAAUUCCAUGUGUAGCGGUGAAAUGCGCAGAGAUAUGGAGGAACACCAGUGGCGAAGGCGACUUUCUGGUCUGUAACUGACGCUGAUGUGCGAAAGCGUGGGGAUCAAACAGGAUUAGAUACCCUGGUAGUCCACGCCCUAAACGAUGAGUGCUAAGUGUUAGGGGGUUUCCGCCCCUUAGUGCUGCAGCUAACGCAUUAAGCACUCCGCCUGGGGAGUACGACCGCAAGGUUGAAACUCAAAGGAAUUGACGGGGACCCGCACAAGCGGUGGAGCAUGUGGUUUAAUUCGAAGCAACGCGAAGAACCUUACCAAAUCUUGACAUCCUUUGACAACUCUAGAGAUAGAGCCUUCCCCUUCGGGGGACAAAGUGACAGGUGGUGCAUGGUUGUCGUCAGCUCGUGUCGUGAGAUGUUGGGUUAAGUCCCGCAACGAGCGCAACCCUUAAGCUUAGUUGCCAUCAUUAAGUUGGGCACUCUAAGUUGACUGCCGGUGACAAACCGGAGGAAGGUGGGGAUGACGUCAAAUCAUCAUGCCCCUUAUGAUUUGGGCUACACACGUGCUACAAUGGACAAUACAAAGGGCAGCGAAACCGCGAGGUCAAGCAAAUCCCAUAAAGUUGUUCUCAGUUCGGAUUGUAGUCUGCAACUCGACUACAUGAAGCUGGAAUCGCUAGUAAUCGUAGAUCAGCAUGCUACGGUGAAUACGUUCCCGGGUCU
rnacentral:rRNA from 1 species